rnacentral:rRNA from 1 species
UACGUAGGGUGCGAGCGUUAAUCGGAAUUACUGGGCGUAAAGCGUGCGCAGGCGGCGCGUUAAGACAGGUGUGAAAGCCCCGAGCUUAACUUGGGAAUUGCGCUUGUGACUGGCGGGCUGGAGUGUGGCAGAGGGGGGUGGAAUUCCGCGUGUAGCAGUGAAAUGCGUAGAGAUGCGGAGGAACACCGAUGGCGAAGGCAGCCCCCUGGGCUAGCACUGACGCUCAGGCACGAAAGCGUGGGGAGCAAACAGG